rnacentral:rRNA from 1 species
UACGAAGGUCCCUAGCGUUGUUCGGAAUCAUUGGGCGUAAAGCGCAUGUAGGUGGCUUUGUAAGUCGGGCGUGAAAGCCCCGGGCUCAACCCGGGAAGUGCACUCGAAACUGCUUAGCUUGAGUACGGAAGAGGUGAGUGGAAUACCUGGUGUAGUGGUGAAAUACGUAGAUAUCAGGUGGAACAUCAGUGGCGAAGGCGGCUCACUGGUCCAGUACUGACACUGAGAUGCGAAAGCAUGGGGAUCAAACAGG